GAGUCGCAAGCUCGCGAGAGUAAGCUAAUCUCUUAAAGCCGUUCUCAGUUCGGACUGUAGGCUGCAACUCGCCUACACGAAGUCGGAAUCGCUAGUAAUCGCGGAUCAGCAUGCCGCGGUGAAUACGUUCCCGGGCCUUGUACACACCGCCCGUCACACCAUGGGAGUUUGUAACGCCCAAAGUCGGUGGCCUAACCUUUAUGGAGGGAGCCGCCUAAGGCGGGACAGAUGACUGGGGUGAAGUCGUAACAAGGUACC
rnacentral:rRNA from 1 species